rnacentral:rRNA from 1 species
GCUUAUGGCCACACCGCCUGGUUCACGGCGAUCUCGUUUGAUCUCGGAAGCUAAAUAGGGUGGGCCAGGUUAGUACUUGGAUGGGAGACCGCCUGGAAAUACCAGGUGCUGUAAGCU